rfam:Salmo salar isolate Sally breed double haploid chromosome ssa21, whole genome shotgun sequence.
UGGCUCAGUUGGUAGAGCAUGGUGUUUGCAACGCCAGCAUGGUGUGUGCAACGCCAGGGUUGUGGGUUCGAUUUCCCAC